rnacentral:rRNA from 1 species
UACAGAGGGUGCGAGCGUUGUCCGGAAUCACUGGGCGUAAAGGGCGCGUAGGCGGCGCGGUAAGCGUGCGGUGAAAGCCCGGGGCUCAACCCCGGGUCGGCCGUGCGGACUGCCGGGCUGGAGCACUGUAGAGGCAGGUGGAAUUCCGGGUGUAGCGGUGGAAUGCGUAGAGAUGUGGAGGAACACCGAUGGCGAAGGCAGCCUCCUGGGAUGACACUGACGCUCAUACACGAAAGCGUGGGGAGCAAACAGG